CCUACGGGGGGCAGCAGUGGGGAAUAUUGGACAAUGGGGGCAACCCUGAUCCAGCCAUGCCGCGUGUGUGAAGAAGGCCCUCGGGUUGUAAAGCACUUUCAGUGAGGAAGAACGCCUGGUGGUUAAUACCCAUCAGGAAAGACAUCACUCACAGAAGAAGCACCGGCUAACUCCGUGCCAGCAGCCGCGGUAAUACGGAGGGUGCGAGCGUUAAUCGGAAUUACUGGGCGUAAAGCGCGCGUAGGUGGCUUGAUAAGCCGGUUGUGAAAGCCCCGGGCUCAACCUGGGAACGGCAUCCGGAACUGUCAAGCUAGAGUGCAGGAGAGGAAGGUAGAAUUCCCGGUGUAGCGGUGAAAUGCGUAGAGAUCGGGAGGAAUACCAGUGGCGAAGGCGGCCUUCUGGACUGACACUGACACUGAGGUACGAAAGCGUGGGUAGCAAACAGGAUUAGAUACCCGUGUAGUC
rnacentral:rRNA from 1 species